CCUACGGGUGGCAGCAGUGGGGAAUAUUGCACAAUGGGGGAAACCCUGAUGCAGCGACGCCGCGUGAGUGAAGAAGUAUUUCGGUACGUAAAGCUCUAUCAGCAGGGAAGAAAAUGACGGUACCUGACUAAGAAGCCCCGGCUAACUACGUGCCAGCAGCCGCGGUAAUACGGAGGGGGCAAGCGUUAUCCGGAUUUACUGGGGGUAAAGGGAGCGUAGACGGCAGCGCAAGUCUGGAGUGAAAUCCCAUGGCUUAACCAUGGAACUGCUUUGGAAACUGUGCAGCUAGAGUGCAGGAGAGGUAAGCGGAAUUCCUAGUGGAGCGGUGAAAUGCGUAGAUAUUAGGAGGAACACCAGUGGCGAAGGCGGCUUACUGGACUGUAACUGACGUUGAGGCUCGAAAGCGUGGGGAGCAAACAGGAUUAGAUACCCGAGUAGUC
rnacentral:rRNA from 1 species